rnacentral:rRNA from 1 species
UACGAAGGGGGUUAGCGUUGCUCGGAAUCACUGGGCGUAAAGCGCACGUAGGCGGAUCUUUAAGUCAGGGGUGAAAUCCUGGAGCUCAACUCCAGAACUGCCUUUGAUACUGGGGAUCUCGAGUCCGGAAGAGGUGAGUGGAACUCCGAGUGUAGAGGUGAAAUUCGUAGAUAUUCGGAAGAACACCAGUGGCGAAGGCGGCUCACUGGUCCGGUACUGACGCUGAGGUGCGAAAGCGUGGGGAGCAAACAGG